rnacentral:rRNA from 1 species
GAUGAACGCUGGCGGCGUGCCUAAUACAUGCAAGUCGAGCGAACAGACGAGGAGCUUGCUCCUCUGACGUUAGCGGCGGACGGGUGAGUAACACGUGGAUAACCUACCUAUAAGACUGGGAUAACUUCGGGAAACCGGAGCUAAUACCGGAUAAUAUAUUGAACCGCAUGGUUCAAUAGUGAAAGACGGUUUUGCUGUCACUUAUAGAUGGAUCCGCGCCGCAUUAGCUAGUUGGUAAGGUAACGGCUUACCAAGGCAACGAUGCGUAGCCGACCUGAGAGGGUGAUCGGCCACACUGGAACUGAGACACGGUCCAGACUCCUACGGGAGGCAGCAGUAGGGAAUCUUCCGCAAUGGGCGGAAGCCUGACGGAGCAACGCCACGUGAGUGAUGAAGGUCUUCGGAUCGUAAAACUCUGUUAUUAGGGAAGAACAAAUGUGUAAGUAACUAUGCACGUCUUGACGGUACCUAAUCAGAAAGCCACGGCUAACUACGU